GUGGUGUGUUGACUUAGCGUCCUUUGUGUAUAUAUUCAUGAGUGUACAUAUGUGUAUAUAUUCAUGAGUAGUGUAGCUGGGUCAUAUGGUGGUUCUGUUUGUAAUUGAUAAGUAGAGAUGCUGGUUUCUGUACUGGCUACUUUUUUCUUUCUUUGUUUUGUUUUGUUUUGUUUGUUUGUUUGUUUGUUUGUUUGUUUGUUUGUUUUUUUCCAGACAGGGUUUCCCUGAGUAGCCCUGGCUGUCCUGGAACCCACUCUGUAGACUGGGCUGACCUUGAACUCAGAAAUCCACCUGCCUCUGCCUCCCAGCAGCUGGGAUUAAAGACAUGUGCCACCACUGCCUGGCUACUUACUUUUACAUUCCCACCAGCAGUGACAAAGACUCCUCUUUCCCCACAUUGUUUCCAGCAUUUGCUGUCGUUUGUUUCCUGGAUAAAAUCUAUGCUGACUGAGGUGAUAUCUCAAAGCAGAUUUAGUUAGCACUUCCCUUGGCUAAGGAUAUCUAACAGGUUUUCAAAUGUUUACUGGAAAUUUGUAUCUUUCCCUUUGCAGACUAUCUCUUCAGUUUAUGAGUCCAUCUACUGAUUAGAUGACAUUAGUUUUAUCUUAAUAUUUGCUUUCUACAGUUCUUUAUAUAUCAAAAAUAUUAAUUUAUGUCUAAUGAGUAGUUGACAAAUAUUCUUUCUACAAUCUGCAGACCUCUUCUUCUGGCCAUGUUUAUUUGAUUUACUUUGCUGAGAUUUUUGAUUUCAUGUAAUUCCAUAUAUCAAUUCUUAGGCUUAUUUCCAAUGUUAUUGGAAUUCCCUUUAGGAAAUCCUUGCCCAUAUCCAUAUCCCAAAACGUUUUUCUUCCACAGCUUCAAAGUUUCAGGUCUUAACAUUAAAGUCUUUUCUCAAUUUUGGGUUGAGAAACAGAAUGAGAGAUACAGAUCUAAUUUUAUUUUUCAACAUGUAGAGUGGUUUUACUCUUGUAAAUAUUUUUGGUGGCUUUGUAAAAAAAAAAAAAGGCAGCUGUGGCACUGUAGAGAUGGCACAGCUGUCAAGUAUUUGCCUUUUAGCACAAGGACCAAUUGCAUCCAUAGAACCGGCAUCUAAUACAAAGUGGGCAUGGUGGCAAAGCUAAGAACAUUGUGAUUUGUCCUCUGAUGUCAUGUUCACACAUGCCUAUGCUUAUCCACACAUGGGUGCUCCAGCACACAAACAUGUACAGAUCUGUGCAUGCACACACACAAACACACAAUUGGGUGGCUGUACUGUUUGGGUGUAUUGCUGAGUCCUUCAUUUUAUCCCAUUGAUCAUCUUGUCUGUUUUGUUGUUUGGGGUAUGUGUGUGUGUGUGUGUGUGUGUGUGUGUGUGUGUAUGUGUGUUUCCUUAUCUAUAUAAUGCUGGUUUUAUAAAAUGAGUCUGGUAGUGUUCUUUCCUUUUAUAUUUUAUGCAACAUGUUGAGGGGUGUUUUGUUCUUGAGGUAAGGUCUCACUGUGUAGCCUUGGCUGUCCCUGGACCCACACAGUGUUGGGAUUACAAGUGUGCACUACCACACCUGCCUCUUCAUUUUGUCUUAAAGUUUUAUGUCACAAGAAUUUCAGUGCUCACAGAUUCUGAAAGCCAGAUACACUUGGCAUUGAGCUUAGCAAAUAGCUGUGGAGUGAUGUUCUACAAACAUAUUUGCAUCAGCAUGACAGCCACCUACGCCAUUCUUAUUCACCUUCUGGGAGAGGAAAACACAGGAGAAUCUGUCUGUAGUGGAAUAAUAUAAAUCCAAGUUUAUAACCAAUCAGUUUUCAAUAGUUUUAGACCAUAUGCGAAGAGAGAACGGCUCUUCUGUACCUGAAAAUGAAAGGGAAAGUAAGAAAAUGUCCUUACCCACACAAACUUUGAAGCAGACCUCUUACAAGGAUGACAACAUCCAUGCCAAAUUGGACAAGAAAAAGCUAUGAGGCCUAAACCCUAAACAAAAACUUGAUGAAACCUGGGACUGGGAGAAGUGGUCUUCCCCAGGGAAGAGCUCACCAAUUGGUUGUCCAGUGCCAAAUGAUCAGCUCUGAAAAUACGUGUACCAAUAACGUUAUAUGGGAUGUGCAUAUUGUACUUAGGAGUGUGUGUGUGUGUGUGUGUGUGUGUGGUAACAAUUUGAAGAAAGAAACCAUGAAUUUGAGGAUGAAUAAGGAGUAGUAUACAGAAGGCUUAAAGGGAGGAAAAGGAAGAGAGAAAUAUUAUAACUAUAUUAUAAUCUAUAAAUUAGGAGAAGUCCCUAGAACAGCCUGCCGUGGCGCACCCUGUAACCCCAGCCUUUGGGAGAACAAAGCAGGAGGAUUGUGAGCUAUAUAGUGAGAUCUUGUCU
rnacentral:lncRNA from 1 species